rnacentral:misc_RNA from 1 species
CAAAAACAGAUUGUUGCGUUUCACUUCUGUUGUAUUUGAUAUGUGAAGUACACAAUAACAAUUCAAAAGCUUUAGUUACACCACUAAGAGAACCUCUUAAUGGAAAACAUCAAGAUGGAAACCAAAUUGAAAAAAAAGAAACCUCUUUAACCCCCAGAACCACAGUAAAUUAAAGAUGGAACUUUUAAAACACCAAUAUAAAAGUUGUUUGUUGCCAAUAAGAAGAGAACCUCUUAAUGGAAAAUCAUAAUACUAGCAAGGAAAUUAUGAUAAUCAGCUUCUCCCAAUAAAAACAACUAGGGGAGAAGUGAAAAGCAAAUUAGAGGGUUUCAAUUCCCCUCAAUUUUUUUCUUCAGGUUUGGGAUCUUCCUUGAUUUCAUCAGCACCAUCAUCCUGCAUAUCGGAGGUCCAGAGAGUGAGAUUGUCACGAAGAAGUUGCAUGAUCAAAGUG